UCCGUAGGUGAACCUGCGGAAGGAUCAUUACCGAGUUGAUUCGAGCUCCGGCUCGACUCUCCCACCCUUUGUGUACCUACCUCUGUUGCUUUGGCGGGCCCGCGGUUCGGCCUCGUGCCGUCCAGCACCCGCCAGAGGACCACAAAACUCCAGUCAGUGAACGUCUCAGUCUGAAAAACAAGUUAAUAAACUAAAACUUUCAACAACGGAUCUCUUGGUUCUGGCAUCGAUGAAGAACGCAGCGAAAUGCGAUAAGUAAUGUGAAUUGCAGAAUUCAGUGAAUCAUCGAAUCUUUGAACGCACAUUGCGCCCCUUGGUAUUCCGGGGGGCAUGCCUGUUCGAGCGUCAUUUCAACCCUCAAGCUCUGCUUGGUAUUGGGCUCCGUCCUCUGGGACGCGCCUCAAAGACCUCGGCGGUGGCGUCUUGCCUCAAGCGUAGUAGAAAACACCUCGCUUUGGAGCGCACGGCGUCGCCCGCCGGACGAACCUUUGA
rnacentral:rRNA from 1 species